GCAGACGACUUCCACUGCUGCUCCGUGUGCUGUAGAGUCUGGUGCUCACACCCUCAGCGCUCCUCGGCAGCUCCUUCAGAGACCUGCUCAGCUGCUUGCCUUUGCUGUGGAACAUCUCACGCUUGUGGACAGGAUUUCUCUCUUGGGUAGGGUGGCUCUGUACCCAGAAGUGUGUCAGGAUUACUUGGAGGUCUGCUACCCUCCUUGUGUUCCAGGUCUUCAUUGCAUUGGAAGAGGAGACUAUAGUGUGAGAUGAAAACCCGGAGGCGCUGCACACACACCAGCAGCAGGCACUUAGAAUCUGAGAAAUCAACAGCAGAGAGGCUUUCCCUGCCAAACAUCAAUCCUUGGCAUUGACCAUCAGGUAUUGGACACUUCAGGGACACAGGUUUGUCCUCAUAUCUCAGCUGCAAGUAUGAAAAUGGAGUUUAAUAUUUUCGUACCUGGACCUGCUAUGACUUUCACACCUCCUUCUCCCAUUGGCAUGAUCCUGGUGUCAGACACUGUUGAAGAACAAAGGUUCUGGGAGGUUAAUGGAUCGAAAUGGGCUGCCCUGGAGAGGUGUUGGUACUGUCUGUGACCCAUGAUCAUCCUUCUGUGCUCUUCUGUACAAAUAAAGAACAAGACAGAUGGGAAGUAUGAAUGCUACAGGUGGAGCUCCUAUGCUACAGUUAUGGCAAACAUUACUGCAAGUACAACCACAGAGUUAGAAGUAGGACAACUCUAGCAGAGACCAGGAAAGGAGUUGGCUUUGAUGGAAUUGGCAGUUCGUGAACAAUGUUCCGGAAAUAACUUCCACUGGCUAUAGGAGAAGGUUAUUUCAAA